rnacentral:rRNA from 1 species
CACAGCCGCGGUAAUACGAAGGGUGCAAGCGUUACUCGGAAUNACUGGCCGUAAAGCGUGCGUAGGUGGUUAUUUAAGUCCGUUGUGAAAGCCCUGGGCUCAACCUGGGAACUGCAGUGGAUACUGGAUGACUAGAAUGUGGUAGAGGGUAGCGGAAUUCCUGGUGUAGCAGUGAAAUGCGUAGAGAUCAGGAGGAACAUCCAUGGCGAAGGCAGCUACCUGGACCAACAUUGACACUGAGGCACGAAAGCGUGGGGAGCAAACAGGAUUAGAUACCCUGGUAGUCCACGCCCUAAACGAUGCGAACUGGAUGUUGGGUGCAAUUUGGCACGCAGUAUCGAAGCUAACGCGUUAAGUUCGCCGCCUGGGGAGU